AUUGAACACUGGCGGUAUGCUUAACACAUGCAAGUCGAACGAGUGGCGGAGGGGUGAGUAAUGCAUAGGAAUCUACCUUUGAGUCUAGGAAAACUACGGGAAACUGUAGCUAAUACCGCGUACCAUAGGAUGAGCCCAAGUGGGAUUAGUUAGUUGGUGAGGUAAAGGCUCACCAAGCCCACGAUCUCUAGCUGGUCUGAGAGGAUGACCAGCCACACUGGGACUGAGACACGGCCCAGACUCCUACGGGAGGCAGCAGUGGGGAAUAUUGCGCAAUUGGGGCAACCUGACGCAGCCAUGCCGCGUGAAUGAAGAAGGCCUUCGGGUUGUAAAGUUCUUUCGGUAGAGAGGCGUUAACUACAGAAGAAGCACCGGCUAACUCCGUGCCAGCAGCCGCGGUAAUAC
rnacentral:rRNA from 1 species